rnacentral:rRNA from 1 species
UAUUUUUUUUUUAUAUAUAUAUUAGUAUUGCAUACUAUGUUAGGAUAUUUUCAAAGAUUUUGAUAAAUAGAAACAAAGUGUUUAAGGUGUAGUUUUUUUUUUUGUUACAAAAAUAAUUUUACUACUCUUAGUGUUGAUACAUCGAACUUUGUGAUAUCUGUUUUUAAUUUUUAUAUUAGAAAAUUAUAUGUUGUUUUUUUUUUUUUGUAGUUUUAAUAAUUUGAAGUUUUUUUGUUUUAAGUUUUAUAACUUUACUACUUUCCUUUUCUUUUUUUUUUCUUUUUAAUUAUAAUUCUUUAUAGUUUUUAUUAUCUAACAAUUAGUAAAUUAAUAAAUUAUGUUUUUUUUUUUAAUAUAAAUGAAUUACUAAUUAUCUGGUCAAAUGUUUAUUAAAGACUUAGGAUUUAUAUUAAAUCUGUCUUCUGCCCUAUGGUUUUUUUAAAUGGCAGUCUUAGCGUGAGGACAUUAAAGUAGCAAAAUAAUUUGUGCUUUUAUUGGGUUCGAGUAUGAAUGAAGUUUUGGCUGGUGAUAUUUUUUUUUUUUUUUGAAUUUAAUAUACAUCUAAAAAGAGAUGUUUAUAAUAAAACAAAGAUAAGUCUUCGGAAAUUUUAUUUCUAUUAAAAAUUUUUUUUUUUAGUAAUUUAUCUAGGGAAGAUUAUUAUAUAAUUUUUUUUUACUAUUUUUAAUUUAAAAAAUUACUUCGGAGUUAACAGAAAAACAUGCCUUAUGUAGUUCUUAUAUUUUGGUAAGUUUUACAUCGAUGUUGUAUCUUUAUUAGCUGAAGAGGAGAAAUUUCAGUUUUUUAGACUGUUCUUCUUUUAAUAAAUAAAACGUGAUAUUAGUUUAAUUCAUCGUGAGAUAGAAUUGUUUAUCUUGUUUAUUAUUUUUUUUUACCGGGAUUAGUACGAAAGGAAUUUCAUUAUAAUUUUAAAUUUUUUAAUCUU